rnacentral:tRNA from 1 species
GCCGGUUUAGCUCAGAUGGUAGAGUACCUGAUUUGUAAUCAGGUGGUCGCUGGUUCGAUCCCCGCAACCGGCACCA